rfam:TPA: Bos taurus chromosome 10, whole genome shotgun sequence.
UGGCUCAGAGGUUAAAGCGUCUGCCUCCAAUGCGGGAGACCCAGGUUCGAUCCCUGG